GACGGAAGGUGCAAGCGUUGCUCGGAAUCACUGGGCGUAAAGGGUGCGUAGGCGGCUUGGUAGGUCUGGUGUGAAAGCCCCGGGCUCAGCCCGGGAAGGGCACUAGAAACUGCCAAGCUAGAGUGCCGGAGGGGAGAGUGGAAUUCCUGGUGUAGCGGUGAAAUGCGUAGAGAUCAGGAGGAAUACCGGUGGCGAAGGCGGCUCCCUGGACAAUAGCUGACACUCAGGCACGAAAGCGUGGGGAGCAAAAGGG
rnacentral:rRNA from 1 species